AUACGGAGGAUGCGAGCGUUAUCCGGAUUUAUUGGGUUUAAAGGGAGCGUAGGUGGGAUAUUAAGUCAGCUGUGAAAGUUUGGGGCUCAACCUUAAAAUUGCAGUUGAUACUGGUUUCCUUGAGUACGGUAUAGGUGGGCGGAAUUCGUGGUGUAGCGGUGAAAUGCUUAGAUAUCACGAAGAACUCCGAUCGCGAAGGCAGCUCACCGGGCCGGAACUGACACUGAUGCUCGAAAGUGCGGGUAUCAAACAGGAUUAGAUACCCUGGUAGUCCGCACAGUAAACGAUGAAUACUCGCUGUUUGCGAUACACUGUAAGCGGCCAAGCGAAAGCGUUAAGUAUUCCACCUGGGGAGUACGCCGGCAACGGUGAAACUCAAAUGAAUCGACGGGG
rnacentral:rRNA from 1 species